rnacentral:rRNA from 1 species
GCGGAUUAGUGGCGAACGGGUGAGUAACACGUGGGUGAUCUGCCCUGCACUUCGGGAUAAGCCUGGGAAACUGGGUCUAAUACCGGAUAUGACCACAGGAUGCAUGUUUUGUGGUGGAAAGGUUUACUGGUGCAGGAUGAGCCCGCGGCCUAUCAGCUUGUUGGUGGGGUAAUGGCCUACCAAGGCGACGACGGGUAGCCGGCCUGAGAGGGCGACCGGCCACACUGGGACUGAGACACGGCCCAGACUCCUACGGGAGGCAGCAGUGGGGAAUAUUGCACAAUGGGCGAAAGCCUGAUGCAGCGACGCCGCGUGAGGGAUGACGGCCUUCGGGUUGUAAACCUCUUUCAGCAGGGACGAAGCGCAAGUGACUGUACCUGCAGAAGAAGCACCGGCUAACUACGUGCCAGCAGCCGCGGUAAUACGUAGGGUGCGAGCGUUGUCCGGAAUUACUGGGCGUAAAGAGUUCGUAGGCGGUUUGUCGCGUCGUGUGUGAAAUCCCGCAGCUCAACUGCGGGCUUGCAGGCGAUACGGGCAGACUUGAGUACUGCAGGGGAGACUGGAAUUCCUGGUGUAGCGGUG